UCUUGAUGCAUGUAUAAUCUCUAUUAUUUAUUUAUUUAUUUAUUUGCUAGGUCAAUAGAUCUAUUAAAGAAUGUGAUGGUGAAUUAUUAUCAGAGCUUGUAGCCGCCGCUUUAAAAGACUCUCAUGUAUUUAAUGGAGCUGCUGAGUUAGCAUGUCAGGUUAUUUUAGACUCUCCUUAUGAUGAAAUGUUAGCAGCUCACAUAAGGGACCUGCCAGUGCUUUAACAAGUUGUUCUUGAUUUGCUUUAAAAGUGGAGUCUGUUGCUAAGCAGGGGUCAAGAGGGGCAACAUUGUCAAGAGAAAGAAAGAAGUUAUCUGAUCUUGAUUCAGAGACAUGAGGUAUGGUUGAGAAGAUGAUGUAUGAUCACUGAGAGACACCAUAUCCUCUUCCUCUCCUCUCUUUCCUUUCCCCUUCACCCACGUCUAAUGAAAAAAAAGAAGCAAGACAUAUUGAAGAAAUUUAUGGAACAGCAUCCUGAAAUGGAUUCCUCUAAAGCAAAGAUGUCAUAAAACAAUUAAUAAUAAAUACUAUACUUAAUUGUAAUAAUGUGAUAUUGUUAUUUCAACCUUAUUACAUAGUUGUAUCACUAAACACUCUCUGUAUCUCUCACAAAUCUGGUUUAUAUUUACUUGCUACAGAAUGCAUCACAAUUCGGAGCAAAAUUAAAAUUUGGUCAAUUUUGCAUCAACUUUAAAGUGUGUUUUAUCAAAUCAUUCAUGCACUUUUUAACAGUUCAUUUAAAAUAGUUUAUCUUUAAAAUUUA
rnacentral:lncRNA from 1 species